AGAACAUUGAGACAAGGCUUCGGUGAUGAUUGCAUAUCGCAUUGCCCAUUAACUGACUCUCCACGCAAACCAACCAUGGGGACGUUUUUGUCCGUCUGAGACAGCCUUGAUAACUCCGAAAUGAUCGCAAGAUCUUUUUAUUCCUUUGUAUCUAACCCUGCCCUUUUUGUUGCAGAUGUGGCAGGAAAAAUGACAUUAACGAUGCUGCCGUUCAUUCAUGAGACUGAACAAGACACUGGCACAUAAAGCAGCUGCCCAGAAAAGGGAAAAUGGAUAUCAAGGCCUACCUUAUUCUGAAGGACAGUUAUCAGUUGUAUGUUCUAAGAGGCGAACAGUUAUAGGAUUUGUGGACUGGAAGU